GAAGGUCACGGCGAGACGAGCCGUUUAUCAUUACGAUAGGUGUCAAGUGGAAGUGCAGUGAUGUAUGCAGCUGAGGCAUCCUAACAGACCGGUAGACUUGAACCUUGUUCCUACAUGACCUGAUCAAUUCGAUCAGGCACUCGCCAUCUAUUUUCAUUGUUCAAAUCUCUGAAAACAUGAAAAAACCAAAAGCUCUGCCCCCCUCUCUAUCUAAGGGAUGGAAGGGCAG
rnacentral:rRNA from 1 species